AGCAGCCGCGGUAAUUCCAGCUCCAAUAGCGUAUAUUAAAGUUGUUGCAGUUAAAAAGCUCGUAGUUGAAUUUCGGGGUUAGUAGGUUGGUCAUGCCUCUGGUAUGUACUGAUCUCACUGAUUCCUCCUUCCUUAUGAACCGUAAUGCCAUUAAUUUGGUGUUGCGGGGAAUUUGGACUGUUACUUUGAAAAAUUAGAGUGUUUAAAGCAGGCUAACGCUUGAAUACAUUAGCAUGGAAUAAUGAAAUAGGACGUUCGAUCUUAUUUCGUUGGUUUCUAGGAUUGACGUAAUGAUUAAUAGGGAUAGUUGGGGGCAUUAGUAUUCAAUUGUCAGAGGUGAAAUUCUUGGAUUUAUUGAAGACUAACUACUGCGAAAGCAUUUGCCAAGGAUGUUUUCAUUAAUCAAGAACGAAAGUUAGGGGAUCGAAGACGAUCAGAUACCGUCGUAGUCUUAACCAUAAACUAUGCCGACUAGGGAUCGGAUGAUGUUAAUUUUUAAUGACUCAUUCGGCGCCUUACG
rnacentral:rRNA from 1 species